CACCAUCUUCACCAGCGUUUACAAUAUCCACAAAUGAUAUAUUUUGGGAAUAUAUACAAUCAGAUGCAAAAGCAGUUCUCUCCUUUUUGCUAAGUCCUUAUCUGAGCAAGCUUAAGCUGGAACCCAACCGUCACAACGAUCUGAUGAUCUUCCGUGUGAGAAUUUUUGAAACAUCUCCAAGGCUUGAGUAAGGAAGAUGAGAUUCCUUCAGGACACACUCAGCUACCAUGAUCCCUGAGAAAGAAGGAUUAGAGAACUGGCUGGCCUUUAUGAAGUGGCCUGUGUAGUCCAUGCACUGACCUGGAGACUUAGAACUUCAUUUUGGUCUACCACAGAGUUUUCCUAUUUGUUACGCAUUACUUGAGAAGGCCGUCAGGAUACCGGCAGCCUAUGAGCCCACCUCUAGCACUUCAGACAUCUCAGGAGCUCCAGAAACAUCUUGCUUAAUUAAAGGGCUUCGCUGGAUUGUGUUCUGCAUUGUCAGAAAGCCCCACCGCUGGCUGCUAUUUCCUGUGUCAAGCUUCCUCUCAUCCCUCAGGUUUGCACUUCAAAAGGGCUGGGCUCCCAAUCCUCUCUCACUAACUAGCACAAGUGGGACAGAAUGUCACAGACAACUCAGAACAUACACCCUGGGUGGGAAGACCUAAGAACUCUCAUUAUGUUCCGUCUUGUUCAAUUUAUUUAUGUUUCAUCAUAAUCUAUGACUGCUAUUCCCUUUGAAUCUUUCACAGAUUCCAGUCAUAGGCCAGGCUCAUAACUUGACCCAAAUGAUCGAGCAGAGAAGCAUAACAGGCAUUCAAUACACACCGGUUAAAUUGAAUUAGAUGGCAUUGAACUAUGCCCCCACCGAGACAUCGACCUCUAGGGAUUAUUUGAUUGCAAAAGCCGGAAACCUACUCUUUUUUUUUUUUUUUUUUUUGGUCAAAGCCAAAAAGGGAAAUUUACUGCAAGGAUGCAUUGAUUUCUUUAUGAGGCAAUGAAUGACAAGUGGAAACUUAGCAGGAAUGAGGGGGAUGCUCUUAAGGGUGGU
rnacentral:lncRNA from 12 species